rnacentral:lncRNA from 1 species
ACUUAUUGAGAAAUUUAUGUUUUUAAUGACAUGUAUAUAUACAUAUCUCUAAGUAUGAAUGAAUAAAAUUAAAAAAGAUCUUAAAAUGACUCACUUUUUUACUAAAUUGAUCCAUCCUAUGAUAACCAUCAUUAGAAAAAUGGAUCAUUUCUAAAAACUAUCAUUAGAAUCAUGACCCUCAUCCCAACCUUCUUUGUUCCCAAUUCCCAUCUUGACCCUCUUCAUUCCUAAUCUUGCUUCUUUUGUUUCUAACCUUUAUUUCAAUCUUCUUCAUUCUUAAUCUCACUUCUUUUGUUUCCAACCUUCAUCUCAAUCCCUCAUUCCCUUAUUCCUCCAUUCCCCCACUCCUAACCAUUAUCCCAAUUCCCUUUGUUUCCAUCUUUUGCUCUCAAUCCUUGCUUCCAACUCCCAUUAUUAUUAUGAGCCUUUAUCUCGACUUAUGUCUCCAUAUAAACAACAAUUAUAGAGAUUUUUUUUUUAUCUAAAUAUUAUUUAUGUGUUAUAAAACCAAUUCUAAAUAAUAGUCUUUUAUUAAAUAUACUUAAAUUAAAAAAUAUAAUAUACAAAAAAUGAGUCAAAAUAAAAGAAAAGCUGAUUAAGUGAGAGAGUGAGAGAGAGGUGGUUGAGGAGGAGGAAGAAGAGGAGAAGUAGGCAAAAAAAAAGGAGAAAAAUAAGAUGCAAUAAUUGUCACG